GUCGUUAGUCAGAAAGAGUGGUACCGAAAGCCCAAACGCCCGACCCUUCCUAACGCACCCGUGUUUCAUAGGAUUGCCGCUUCGCCGGGCCUUGGGCUCCACUGCAGGCUCUGCUCUGGUGCGCCCGCCAGAGCAGCAAACUCCGAAUGUUAGUGAUGUCUGAGUACUAUCAAAUAGUUAAAACUUUCUACAACGGAUCUCUUGGUUCUGGCAUCGAUGAAGAACGCAGCGAAAUGCGAUAAGUAAUGUGAAUUCCAGAAUUCAGGGAAUCAUCGAAUCUUUGGACGCACAUUGCGCCCUGUGGCAUUCCGUAGGGCCUGCCUGUUCGAGAGUCAUUUAACCACUCACGCCUAGUGAGCUUUUGGGGCACGCGGUCUCCGCGGCCCUCAAAAUUAGUGGCGGUGCCGGUGGGCUCUAAGAGUAGUAGAUACUCCCGUUAUAGAGCUCCCCCCGGUGGCUCGUCAGACCCCCCAAUUUUUACAGGCGACCUCGAGGAGGGAGGGACCCCGCUGGCUUAACUUAUCAAUAAGCGGACGACGGAUCAGGUCGGAUAGGCGCUGAACUUGGCAUAUUAUUAGGCGUAGGAUGCGGGGAAGUCCUAUGCUGGUGGAGAGGUGUGGUUGCGGGCGAGCGCGGCGUCUGUUCGUUUGUAAGCAACGAACAAAUAUUUCGGCCCCGUUUUCAUUUUUGUGUAAAAAACCGGGGGGU
rnacentral:sRNA from 1 species